GUCUUAGCUAGAGGUCUGUCCAAUGCCUAGGACCAGAUGCUAGAGGGCCUGAAACUCAAAGGCAGACCACUUCCUCGUCCCAGUUCAAACCCAGGGCGGUUGCUUCUUUCCUGGGAAGCCAGACUAGUGAGCACUGGCUACUUUCCUCUUGCUAAAGAGGGCAGCUGGGACAGACCAGAUUCCUUAGUUCCCUCCCUCAAUGCCUGUCCCCUUCACUGUGCCCAGUGGCUGGGCAGGCAAGACAAUGACAGAUGUGGGUGGACAGACCUGGACUUCCGUACCCACGCUUCCUAGCCUGGUGUGUAGCCUUGAGAAGGUUGCUCCAGCUCUGCUCCUCAGACUCCAUAACCAGGAAACCAGCUCAGGAAGGUGGCCUCUAGAGCUUGUACUGUCUGUGGGAAGCAGACCUAAAGAGAAGGACUGGGCUCAGAGAGAUCAGCUGCAUUCACCCAGCUGGCCCCAGGCAUUUCUCCAGUGCUACAGCCCGUCUCAGCAGGUGACACCAGAGACACAGGCCUACCAAAUGCCACAGGACAGGAAGUAAGGCUGUUUAGGGGCACUGACAUCCUCGUGGGUCUCAGCUUCAAGCUGCUGGAUAUAGUUCUGUGACUCCUGAGACCCCCACCUCCGCCCUCCUGCCAGCUACUGCUGGCUCUGCCACUGCUACGGAUGUCACCCCCAGGAGACCCUCUAUCUCUGGAGAAUCAUCCCGGGUGGGGCAAGGAUGUGCAAGUCUUGCUUCUGUAAGACUCAGCGAGGCUUCUGCAUGCUGCCUGGGUUUCCAGCUGAUGUGUGGAGCCCAGUUUCCAUGUGUUGGGGCCACCCAAGGUCCAGCCUGCUCUCCUCGCUGGUCUUGAACUACCUUGUCCUCAAAGACACUUAUGCACAUCGUGAUAACAGUCCCAGCCUGCCCGGAGGGUUGUAUCCUAGGACCUCCAGCCUGCAGCAUCUCCUUGGCUCCUGAUUAACAACCCCAGGAGUCACUUCUUAGAUUAGCCAGCAGGUGGCAGCAGAAGGCCGGCCAGGGACCAGGACCUUCCUGGGUACUUUCCCUGAGGCACAAUCUGGGGUGCCCUUGAAUCCUGACUCCACCCUCUAAGUGGAAGUGUUUUGCUUCCUUUGUAGGUUGUGGAAGUGGGGAAGUGAGCACAGGGUCUCCCUGGGCUGAACCACUCCCCUGCACCCCAGAACUUCCACUCUGCUGAAUGCUGUGUCGUACCCACCCUGAUCCCCACAUGCACCCCUAUCUCUAGUGACAGUCAGUUGUCAGAGAAGAGCCAACAGAAUGUAGAGAGGGGCACAGGACAUGUCAGAGGUCAUCUUCCAGGAAGCUACCCUGACUGCAGAGCACCUCAGAGCUCUCGGAUGCUCCCACGCUACCCCACUGGGUGGUCGCCGUGUGUCCUGUCCUGUGUCCCUAGUACUUGAACUCUGCAGAGCAGAGGCCAUCUCCCACUGCAGCAUAGGAGCCAGGAGGUGGGUGUGACUGGCCAGCAUGUCAUUCUGCUUGCACAGACACAGCUGGCUGUGGUAGCCAGAGGGUGGGCCUGUGUGAGGGUGAAGGGUUGGGGGCUGGGCUGUGCAGAAGAGUAUGGAAGGUAGGCUGUGUGAUGGUUUGUAUAUGCUUGGUCCAGGGAGUGGCACUAUUAGGA